GACGUAGGGCGCAAGCGUUAUCCGGAAUUAUUGGGCGUAAAGAGCUCGUAGGCGGUUUGUCGCGUCUGCUGUGAAAGUCGGGGGCUCAACCCUCGGAUGCCGGUGGAUACUGUCGGGCUUGAGUACGGAAGAGGCGAGUGGAAUUCCUGGUGUAGCGGUGAAAUGCGCAGAUAUCAGGAGGAACACCAAUUGCGAAGGCAGCUCGCUGGGACGUUACUGACGCUGAGAAGCGAAAGCAUGGGGAGCGAACAGG
rnacentral:rRNA from 1 species